rnacentral:rRNA from 1 species
CAGACUCCUACGGGAGGCAGCAGUGGGGAAUUUUGGACAAUGGGGGAAACCCUGAUCCAGCAAUGCCGCGUGUGCGAAGAAGGCCUUCGGGUUGUAAAGCACUUUUGUCAGGGAAGAAAUCCUUUGGGCUAAUACCCUAGGGGGAUGACGGUACCUGAAGAAUAAGCACCGGCAAACUCUGUGCCAGCAGCCGCGGUAAUACAGAGGGUGCGAGCGUUAAUCGGAUUUACUGGGCGUAAAG